rnacentral:rRNA from 1 species
UACGGAGGGUGCAAACGUUGCUCGGAAUCAUUGGGCGUAAAGCGCACGUAGGCGGCCUGUUAAGUCGGAUGUGAAAGCCCCGGGCUCAACCCGGGAAGUGCAUUCGAAACUGGCGGGCUUGAAUAUGGAAGAGGGUCGCGGAAUUCCCGGUGUAGAGGUGAAAUUCGUAGAUAUCGGGAGGAACACCAACGGCGAAAGCACUCUGCUGGGCCGACACUGACACUGAGAGACGAAAGCUAGGGGAGCGAAUGGG